CUGGCGUCCAGUGGAGACCCUAACGUCCCUCUGGUGGCCCAGGAACUGAUGAAGAGGAUGGUGAGGCAGUUUGCCAUGGAGUACGCCUCCAAGACACGCCUUACCACCACCACAGGCUCCCAGCGUUCUGACCUCGACUCACCUCUAGACCUCACUGUGACACGGAACCAGGAGGGGGAACCCACACCAGGUAGAGAACCCGACAGGACUUAGAAUCCAUACCAGGUAGAGAACCAACACCAGAUAGAGAACCCAACAGGACAUAGAACCAAUACCAGAUAGAGAACCCAACAGGACAUAGAACCCACACCAGGAAGAGAACCAACAGGGCUUAGAACCCACAC
ensembl:lncRNA